rnacentral:lncRNA from 1 species
CCAAUAGACCGCAUGUUAAUAUGAUCCUGCUCUGGUUUCAACUGAAUACCCGAUGUUUUCACAUCUGUUUCUUUAUGAUGAUGGCUAGCUACAUUAAUAUCGCAUAUACACUUUUGUUCAUACAAGCACAUCAAUAAACUACAAACAUUUCAAAAUUACAUUAUUAACCACACAAAUGCAAUUUUAUGCAUGCUUUAAGUUGUACAAUACCAGGUAAUAACGUAGGCUAACAAAGAAAAGCCAAUACUUUUUCAACCCUUAAUUGUGUAACACAAUACAUACAACCAGCAUAUUUUAUCAACACUGCUCUCAGCUCAUAAGUACAAACAUAAUCAUAGCCAUCGAAACCAAACAGUGAGUGGGAUUUGGGAAUAUUCCAGUCGACAGAAGAAGUUUUUGCUAUUUCACAGCAUCCACAUGUAACUCAACACAUAAGCUCCUGCCUGUGAUCAGCUCCUAAUCAGAAUGUUUGUGUGAAAGGUUGCGGCUACCCCAAGCAGCAGAAUAAUUUGAAAUUGCUGAGCCGCUCACGCUAAAUGAGUGUUUUGCAAAUCCAAGGCUCUUGCUAGCUAUUAACCAUGCAGUACAAAAGAAUCCAACCCAUCCUGCUCUUAUCAGAAUAGCCACGGUUGUCCAAAACACAACCGUCGAAAUUGCAAAUAUGGCUACUGAUAAUGCUCCAAUAUAUAUUGCUGUCACUAAAGCAAAGAAAAGAGCCAAGAAUCCUCCGGCUACCGCCAAAGAAAUGAAAAGAGAGACGAUGAUGGCAUUGAUAGUUGCAACCAGAAGGAGAAGCAUAAAGGUAAGGAGUCCUGUCAAGGCAACAAGAGCAAUU